rnacentral:lncRNA from 7 species
GGCUGCCUGUGUCUGUUCUGCGUAGUACUGAGGAAACUUAGUUACUCCAGACAUCAUGGACGAUCCAAAACAGUGAAGAGACGGUGAGACCUUCUAUUGCCGUAUUUUGGACCAGGGCUUUGAUGACCUGAGGAUUCUCCAUCACAGACCAGGCCCCACAGAGAGAAAUCAUGCUGCAAAAAGCUGUCAGUGCUCUGAGAAUGGAGGUGCUUCUCACAAUGAAAUGUCUAGCAGGCACCACUUCACUGACCAGCUGUUCCCAUUAAGCCAGAAGAGCAUGGCGGAGUGGGGCCAUAGCUGCCUUCCCCCAGUAGCUCCCCGAAGGGGGAAUUGCACCCACCUCACCAUGAGAUGCUGGUUUCAUGCCAAGGAAGCACUCCAGGCUUUGUGCCUCCAUCUCCCCCAGAUUUCACACUGGUGUGCUACAAGUCAACAAAAUACCUGCUUCAUCCACUGGAAACAGGGGGGUGUAAAGAACGUCAUUCGUUGUCAUUGCAGCUUACAGGGAACCCUGGAAGAGUAACUGUGACUUUCCUCUGUGAAACGAGCCUGUAUUCUUUGGAGAAGAAUGGGGAAGGAAAGUCUCAAAUAAAUGGAUGUAAUUGCCUUCAUUAAAAGCUGACUGAACAGACUUUAUCCUGUGGGGUCUACUCUCUCUCUCUGAGAUUCAGCUGGAAGAGAGAUGAGAUAACAAAGUUUACCUCAAGGCUAUGGACUAUUUUGGAUACAUGCAACCUGCAAAAUGGGAUCUGUUCCUUAGAGAAGAUUUUUGCAUCACCUGAAUGAGAGGAAUACUCACAGUCUGGCCCUCUGAACUGAGAUGCAAGGAGAGAUAUCAACAUCAUGUCUUCAGAGGAUGAAUAACUUCCCAAGAAGCUUACACUACAUUAAGACCCAUCUUCACAAUGAACAUUCCUAGGAGAAGAGGUACAGUAAUUGCUACAAGGCUGUUCUGUGGUGGUAGUGAAAGAUGAAUUGACUUGCUGGGAAAAGACAGAAGAUGAGACACCAGAAAGUGUCUUCAAAUAUUAUUCGCUAGAGGAAGUAUGGGAAGUUUGGGAAUCUCCCUUCAUAGGCUUAGUACUAUCAUUUAAGCAUUAGGAAAAUCCCACCAAUACAGCCAGGUUCUCUAUUAAUAGCUUCGUUCUUAUCGUACAGAAAUGUCAAUGUAAUCAGAAUUCAAGCCACUACUUCCAUUAGAAGCAGAGCUUCCUUCUUUUGCUUACUGCUGGCACAGGUGAUGACAAGCCACAUUGCUUCUGGGAAAAGGAAGCUCUCAGGGCAUCCUGAUACAAAAUCUGAUACAAACAGAAUCCUAGUGGCUGCAAGGUGUGAAGCAGAAUACAGGAAAUAGGGCCCAUUUCUUCUGCUUACUCAAGUGUUAACUCUCGUCAACAAGAAAUUAAAAGAAUAGGAUCAAUUUGAACAAUGGAAUACAAGUUGAAAUGGGUCUGACCCACUUUCUUUCUUUUCUUACAUGGCACCUCCUAAAUCAUGCCAGUGAAGAUGGAUUAUACUUUCAGUCAUGAGAUAAACCUGUAAACUAGUUCUUGUCUGCAGCACUUGUGUAUUAUAGAUCUUGUGUCUCCUGAAAGAUGAAUAAUUACAGUCCCUGGGGAGAUACUUUUAGAAAAUGCAGUCAUCAUGGAUUCUGCAGCUGUAUGGACAAUGAUGAUAAAAAGAAGAGCCUUCUUCUUGUCCCCAAUGGGCAUGAAAGUGAAAUAGAAAGAACAAACAGCUCUCAUUAGAUUAAUGAGUGAGGCUUCCAAUUUAUGGACAAGCUUCUGUUUCCCUCGCACUGAUGAAAUAAAUACUAUUUGAUGAGGACCUCUAAACACCAUCAGAUCAAACCAUGCCAUAAACCAAUUGCAUUUGCCUUGAUUUAAAGCAGGCUUGCCCCAGCACAGUGUCAUAUGGAAAGAAUGGAUCCUUCAAAAUAAAUUGACUGGAUUUUCUUUG